rnacentral:rRNA from 1 species
UGGGGAAUCUUGCACAAUGGGGGCAACCCUGAUGCAGCGACGCCGCGUGAGCGAAGAAGGCUUUCGAGUCGUAAAGCUCUGUCCUAUGAGAAGAUAAUGACGGUAUCAUAGGAGGAAGCCCUGGCUAAAUACGUGCCAGCAGCCGCGGUAAUACGUAUGGGGCGAGCGUUGUCCGGAAUUAUUGGGCGUAAAGUGUACGUCGGUGGUUUUUUAAGUCAGGUGUCAAAGCGUGGAGCUUAACUCCAUUAAGCACUUGAAACUGAAAGACUUGAGUGAAGGAGAGAAAAGUGGAAUUCCUAGUGUAGCGGUGAAAUGCGUAGAUAUUAGGAGGAAUACCGGUGGCGAAGGCGACUUUCUGGACUUUUACUGACGCUCAGGUACGAAAGCGUGGGGAGCAAACAGG